UACGUAGGUGGCGAGCGUUGUCCGGAUUUACUGGGCGUAAAGAGCGCGCAGGCGGUCGAUCAAGUCGGAUGUGAAAGCCCCCGGCUCAACUGGGGAGGGUCAUUCGAUACUGGUCGACUCGAAGGCAGGAGAGGGAAGCGGAAUUCCCGGUGUAGUGGUGAAAUGCGUAGAUAUCGGGAGGAACACCAGUGGCGAAGGCGGCUUCCUGGCCUGUUCUUGACGCUGAGGCGCGAAAGCUAGGGUAGCAAACGGG
rnacentral:rRNA from 1 species